GACGUAGGGCGCGAGCGUUGUCCGGAUUUAUUGGGCGUAAAGAGCUCGUAGGCGGCUUGUCGCGUCGUCCGUGAAAACCUGCGGCUCAACUGCAGGCUGGCGGUCGAUACGGGCAGGCUGGAGUUCGGUAGGGGAGACUGGAAUUCCUGGUGUAGCGGUGAAAUGCGCAGAUAUCAGGAGGAACACCGGUGGUGUAGACGGCUCUCUGGACCGUAACUGACGCUGAGACACGAAAGCGUGGGUAGCAAACAGG
rnacentral:rRNA from 1 species